rnacentral:rRNA from 1 species
AAAAGCUCGUAGUUGGAUCUCAGUUCCAGACGGGCGGUCCGCCUACCGGCGGCCACUGCCCGUUCUGAACAGGCCAGCCGGUUUCCCCUGAUGAUCUUCACCGGUUGUCUCGGGUGACCGGCAAGUUUACUUUGAAAAAAUUAGAGUGCUCAAAGCAGGCGCGACGCCUGGAUAAUGGUGCAUGGAAUAAUGGAAUAGGACCUCGGUUCUAUUUUGUUGGUUUUCGGAACGCGAGGUAAUGAUUAAGAGGGACAGACGGGGGCAUUCGUAUUGCGACGCUAGAGGUGAAAUUCUUGGACCGUCGCAAGACGAACUACUGCGAAAGCAUUUGCCAAGAAUGUUUCCAUUAAUCAAGAACGAAAGUUAGAGGCUCGAAGGCGAUCAGAUACCGCCCUAGUUCUAACCAUAAACGAUGCCAGCCAGCGAUCCGGCUGUGUUCCUCAAAUGACACGCCGGGCAGCUUCCGGGAAACCAAAGCUUUUGGGUUCCGGGGGAAGUAUGGUUGCAAAGCUGAAACUUAAAGGAAUUGACGGAAGGGCACCACCAGGUGUGGGGCCUGCGGCUUAAUUUGACUCAACACGGGUAAACUCAUCUGGUCCGGACACAGGAAGGAUUGACAGAUUGAGAGCUCUUUCUUGAUUCUGUGGGUGGUGGUGCAUGGCCGCUCUUAGUUGGUGGAGCGAUUUGUCUGGUUAAUUCCGUUAACGAACGAGACUCUAGCCUACUAAAUAGACGUUCCGAUCCUCCGAGUCGGACGUUCUUCUUAGAGGGACGGGCGGCGUUUAGCCGCACGAAACAGAGCAAUAGCAGGUCUGUGAUGCCCUUUGAUGUCCGGGGCCGCACGCGCGCCACAUUGAAGGAACCAGCGUGUGCUUUCCCUGUCCGACAGGACUGGGUAACCCGUUGAACCUCCUUCGUGCUGGGGAUAGCAAAUUGUAAUUAUUUUGCUUGAACGAGGAACACCCAGUAAGCACGAGUCAUCAGCUCGUGUUGACUAUGUCCCUGGCCUUUGUUCACACCGCCCGUCGCUACUACCGAUUGAAUGAUUUAGUGAGGUCUUCGGACUGGCGCUCGGAUUGGCUUUCGGGUCGAGCCGACGUGCCGGAAAGAUGACCAAACUUGAUCAUUUAGAGGAAGUAAAAGUCGUAACAAGGUUUCC